rnacentral:rRNA from 1 species
UGGGGAAUAUUGGACAAUGGGCGAAAGCCUGACCCAGCGACGCCGCGUGAAGGAUGAAGGUCUUCGGAUUGUAAACUUCUGUUGACAGGGACGAAAUAAAUGACGGUACCUGUAUAGAAAGCCACGGCUAACUACGUGCCAGCAGCCGCGGUAAUACGUAGGUGGCAAGCGUUAUCCGGAUUUACUGGGUGUAAAGGGUGUGUAGGCGGGGAAUCAAGUCAGAUGUGAAAAUCAUGGGCUCAACUCAUGACUUGCAUUUGAAACUGAUUUUUCUUGAGUGUGGGAGAGGUAAAUGGAAUUCCCGGUGUAGCGGUGAAAUGCGUAGAUAUCGGGGA